rnacentral:rRNA from 1 species
UGGAGAGUUUGAUCCUGGCUCAGGACGAACGCUGGCGGCGUGCUUAACACAUGCAAGUCGAACGGAAAGGCCCCUUCGGGGGUACUCGAGUGGCGAACGGGUGAGUAACACGUGGGUGAUCUGCCCUGCACUUUGGGAUAAGCCUGGGAAACUGGGUCUAAUACCGAAUAGGACCGCAUGCUUCAUGGUGUGUGGUGGAAAGCUUUUGCGGUGUGGGAUGGGCCCGCGGCCUAUCAGCUUGUUGGUGGGGUAAUGGCCUACCAAGGCGACGACGGGUAGCCGGCCUGAGAGGGUGUCCGGCCACACUGGGACUGAGAUACGGCCCAGACUCCUACGGGAGGCAGCAGUGGGGAAUAUUGCACAAUGGGCGCAAGCCUGAUGCAGCGACGCCGCGUGGGGGAUGACGGCCUUCGGGUUGUAAACCUCUUUCAGUAUCGGCGAAGCUCCAGGAUUUUUCUUGGGGUGACGGUAGGUACAGAAGAAGCACCGGCAACUACGUGCCAGCAGCCGCGGUA